CCUUCCUAUCUCUACAUGUCUGCACUUCAUCAUCUGAGGAAAGAUGCAAUUGCAAUGACAGAACUAGACCUUGUUAUGCUAUGAGUAAUAUUACACACAGUCCGGCACUUCUGGAGGGAAUCUUGAGCACUGGUGCUUUAUAUACAUGAUAAACAAGGGGAAUUUGGUUUGCAUUUGAGGUAAUUUAUUGUAUACGCCGCUUCAUGUGUAGCUGCUGCUGUGCUGUUCUUUUAUGCCAAGAUUCAUUACAUAUAAUGGCUUAGCUAACAUCUCUGGGACUUCUUAGAAGAUGUGUUAAAGAGCCCUAAAAGAAAAGUAUGCAGAUUAUAGCCUCCCAUGUUUUUUGUAAAUGUUUUAAACAUUUGGAAUGUGUCAUUAAAAUUUUAAGAGAAGGAACAGAAGGAAAUCACAGUAGUGAGUAUUUGCUUCUUUCUGCUCAUUUUUGGAUAAUGAAUUUUCUGCUUAUUGUAGCAUGUUUUGUCAUUCUUUGUCUGUUGACUAGCAGAGGGCUCAAACAGUUAUUAUAUCAGUCAGUAAAAGCAGUGUUGUGUAGCACUCAAUAAAUAUUCCAGGUAGUCCUGACUCUCUAAAAUCUUUCUGCUUUGUAUUUGUUACAGAGAUGGAGAGCAGAAGUAAAAUGGAGAUAAAAGAAUAUUGGAUCAGAACAGUGCGUCUAGAUCCUCUUAGCACUUCCUUUGCAGACGGGUCAUGGGUACGAUGGGGAGUCCCUUGGUCAGGACCUGGCAAAGACACGGGAGAGAGAAGCCCGUCUCUCCUUACAGUGCUGCUGGUGUUCCUGCUUGUGCAAAGCAAGCAGGAAGCCACCAGAGCUGUCACGGCUCCUGUUCCUGCCCAGGUAGUUGUUGGCAGCAAGAGUGAUGGCUACAAGGUAUGUACAAAUGGGAAUUUUACCUGGGAAAUGAUGCUGUCUAAUGUUUUGGUGAGUAUGAAAAGUCUAAACGUGCACGUAACCCGGUGGUCUUCAUCAUGGGUCAACCUGCAUUCAGCUGAGAUUAGCCACAAACUAAACUGA
rnacentral:lncRNA from 1 species